rnacentral:rRNA from 1 species
GACGAACGCUGGCGGCGUGCUUAACACAUGCAAGUCGAGCGAUGAAGCUCCUUCGGGAGUGGAUUAGCGGCGGACGGGUGAGUAACACGUGGGUAACCUGCCUCAUAGAGGGGAAUAGCCUUUCGAAAGGAAGAUUAAUACCGCAUAAGAUUGUAGCUUCGCAUGAAGCAGCAAUUAAAGGAGUAAUCCGCUAUGAGAUGGACCCGCGUCGCAUUAGCUAGUUGGUGAGGUAACGGCUCACCAAGGCGACGAUGCGUAGCCGAACUGAGAGGGUGGUCGGCCACAUUGGGACUGAGACACUGCCCAGACGCCUACGGGAGGCAGCAGUGGGGAAUAUUGCACAAUGGGGGAAACCCUGAUGCAGCAACGCCGCGUGAGUGAUGACGGUCGUCGGAUUGUAAAGCUCUGUCUUCAGGGACGAUAAUGACGGUACCUGAGGAGGAAGCCACGGCUAACUACGUGCCAGCAGCCGCGGUAAUAC